AAAAGAUGCUGAUGCCUUAGUCUAUUUCCUCAUGCGUGUGGCAUAGAGUAUACUAGGUGUAGUGUUUUUCAUUGCCGAACACAACGAUUGUAAAAAGACCACCCUGGCGCUGGUUGGGAUGCCCAUUUGCCUCCCUAAUUGGUCCACACAUUACCCUUCUUUCUUGUGUGAUCCUUUAUCCUUAUUUCAAAAACAUUUCUCAAAUCUCACGACCCUGGCGCGUAAUUGGUCCUCCCGCUAGAACCCUUAAGCUAGCCUGCAGUGGACGAAGAAUCCAUGGAGGAAAUGGCGGAUUGAAUCCCUUUUAUACUCUUCACGGAAAUUGCUGGUCUGAUCUGAAUUAGUGAACUGAAUCUUACAGGUUUCGUCUCUCCAAACAUUUCUUUCUCAAUGGAUACUCAAAAACGAGUUGUCCGUCCAGAAAUGAGACAAGAAAUGAUUGAUUCUGAAUGGAUUUCAGAACAUAUCAAGAUGACGAUUUACAAAGCUUAUGCCAGUGUCUUGAACUCCAAAGCUCCCAUUAAAACCCAUAAGGGAUUCUCCCAGAUCAGGCCAAAGGGUGUGGGGAAAUGGAUUCUGAGGCUUAUGCAAGGGUUUCCAGACGGACUCGGGAGCUUCUGAACCUGAACUUGAAAACGUGACAGAGAAAGGGAAGAAAACCGAAGGAACGAGACUCUACUUACCACAAAAGAAUUCGGUUGCUUAUGAGCUUUUUUCUUUGGUAGAAGUUGCUUAUGAACUUUGGAUUACCCUUUACAGGUAUUCAUCUUACUGCAGUAUGUGCAGUGCCAUGUGGUAGACUGGACUCACAUUGAGCAUUAUUCAUCUGUCCCUUGAUUGAAGCUUUUGAAAAGAAGCAGGCCCUGUCUCUUGAUAAAAAUUCAGAGGGAGGACCUCGAUAGUAUUGGCAUGGAUGUACAAAGAACAAGUGGCUUGGCUAACACAAUGAAGAGAAAUGGUUAUCUCACACUAGCAAUAACUGAAUAUUACAGAACACGGUUUUAUGAAGACAAGGUCACGAGCACUGGGAAAUAUCCUCUUAUGAUCAAUUCAUCAAGAAGGAUGACCUUGACAUGAUGACUGUCAACAAUGUAUUUGCUAUCUAACUCAUGCAGGUUGUCAUGACAUGGAUGUUGAUUGAUACACAUGUAUGUAUGUCCUCCAUUCAUCAGGUUUAGGUUGGCUAGAAGAAUAUGAUUUGUACUGCCUCUUUUAUUUUCUUCCGUUUAAACAAUCUGUUCAUUUUGUAAGGUAAUUCUCUUUUAUUUCCUAUUUUAUCUAUUAUGCUUACUCUUGAUAUGUAAUUAUGAUAAUAAUUAUUGUUUAGUUUAGUUCUUAAUCUUUCAUAGAUGCAGGUCCCACAAGUGACUGAGGAGGUUGCUGUGCUUGAUUUGUAUCCUACACUUUUAUCAUUUGUUCAUGUAUCUGGUAAGCAAAGUUUUUGUGGAGUUAAAGCAAAAGUUUAUUGGACCAU